UGAGUAACCUGCCCUUAACUCUGGGAUAAGCCUGGGAAACUGGGUCUAAUACCGGAUAUGACUCCUCAUCGCAUGGUGGGGGGUGGAAAGCUUUAUUGUGGUUUUGGAUGGACUCGCGGCCUAUCAGCUUGUUGGUGGAAGUACGGCUCACCAAGGCAACGAGUGCUGC
rnacentral:rRNA from 1 species